rnacentral:rRNA from 1 species
GUUGUUGCAGUUAAAAAGCUCGUAGUUGAAUUUCGGGAUCAAUGUUUCGGUCAUGCCGUUGGUAUGUACUGAUAUUAUUGGUUUCUCACCUUCUAAAGAACCGUAAUGCCAUUAAUUUGGUGUCACGGGGAAUUAGGACUGUUACCUUGAAAAAAUUAGAGUGUUUAAAGCAGGCUCACGCUUGAAUACAUUAGCAUGGAAUAAUGAAAUAGGACAUCCGAUUCUAUUUUGUUGGUUUCUAGGAUCGAUGUAAUGAUUAAUAGGGAUAGUUGGGGGCAUUAGUAUUCAAUUGUCAGAGGUGAAAUUCUUGGAUUUAUUGAAGACUAACUACUGCGAAAGCAUUUGCCAAGGAUGUUUUCAUUAAUCAAGAACGAAAGUUAGGGGAUCGAAGACGAUCAGAUACCGUCGUAGUCUUAACCAUAAACUAUGCCGACUAGGGAUCGGAUGAUGUUAAUUUUUUAAUGCCUCAUUCGGCGCCUUACGGGAAAC